rnacentral:rRNA from 1 species
GGGGAACUGAAACAUCUAAGUACCCCGAGGAAAAGAAAUCAACCGAGAUUCCCCCAGUAGCGGCGAGCGAACGGGGAGCAGCCCAGAGCCUGAAUCAGUGUGUGUGUUAGUGGAAGCGUCUGGAAAGGCGCGCGAUACAGGGUGACAGCCCCGUACACAAAAAUGCACAUGCUGUGAGCUCGAUGAGUAGGGCGGGACACGUGGUAUCCUGUCUGAAUAUGGGGGGACCAUCCUCCAAGGCUAAAUACUCCUGACUGACCGAUAGUGAACCAGUACCGUGAGGGAAAGGCGAAAAGAACCCCGGCGAGGGGAGUGAAAAAGAACCUGAAACCGUGUACGUACAAGCAGUGGGAGCCUCUUUAUGGGGUGACUGCGUACCUUUUGUAUAAUGGGUCAGCGACUUAUAUUCUGUAGCAAGGUUAACCGAAUAGGGGAGCCGAAGGGAAACCGAGUCUUAACUGGGCGUUAAGUUGCAGGGUAUAGACCCGAAACCCGGUGAUCUAGCCAUGGGCAGGUUGAAGGUUGGGUAACACUAACUGGAGGACCGAACCGACUAAUGUUGAAAAAUUAGCGGAUGACUUGUGGCUGGGGGUGAAAGGCCAAUCAAACCGGGAGAUAGCUGGUUCUCCCCGAAAGCUAUUUAGGUAGCGCCUCGUGAAUUCAUCUCCGGGGGUAGAGCACUGUUUCGGCAAGGGGGUCAUCCCGACUUACCAACCCGAUGCAAACUGCGAAUACCGGAGAAUGUUAUCACGGGAGACACACGGCGGGUGCUAACGUCCGUCGUGAAGAGGGAAACAACCCAGACCGCCAGCUAAGGUCCCAAAGUCAUGGUUAAGUGGGAAACGAUGUGGGAAGGCCCAGACAGCCAGGAUGUUGGCUUAGAAGCAGCCAUCAUUUAAAGAAAGCGUAAUAGCUCACUGGUCGAGUCGGCCUGCGCGGAAGAUGUAACGGGGCUAAACCAUGCACCGAAGCUGCGGCAGCGACGCUUAUGCGUUGUUG